AGCCCUGAGAUGCUGCCCAAGAAGGAGGUCCUGGGACUGCUGUCCCUUGGCCUGCACUCUGCCCACUGCUGGCCUGCCCCUCUUCUCUGAUCCUCUCCAGACCUGCUGUGCACAUGGGCUGCCCCUGCGGAGAAGUUGGGGUCUUUGUGCUGAGAGCCCUGAGAUGCUGCCCAAGAAGGAGGUCCCGGGACUGCUGUCCCGUGGGCCGCAGUCUGCCCGCUGCUGUCCCACCCCGCUUCUGUGAUCCUCUGCAGACCUUCUGUGCACAGUGAUCUCUGGCAUCCCGUCCUGGUAAGCCAUGGCAGCUGCCGGCGGAGCCCUGUCUCUCCCAGGUUGUGUUCAGUCUGGGUCGAUGAUGACACUGCAAUGGGGCUGAAAAGAGGUGAUGUCUUCAAAAACAGGCUCAAUAGGAUUACGCUGAGGCCCAGCCUAAGGGAGGGUGGCACCAGAGGAGAUUGGCAGCCGGCCAUCCUGUCCAGGACAGUCGAACUGUGGCUGGGAGCCCACUAAGUGGCCCCACAGGGGAGAUGCUGUGGAGCCACAGUGUGGGCUGCCCCUGCGGAGAAGUUGGGGUCUUUGGGCUGCGAGGGGCGUCGGUCAGAACACCCGGGCAUCCCAGGAUAUCGGGCUCAAGGGUGCCAGAGAGCACCUCCCGGGUCCUCGGUUUGGGUAGUGGAUCAUCACUGUGAAACUGCUCUGGUGAAACCCUUGCAGGAUGUUGAUGCCCACCUCUCUCCCAACUUGCUGCCCUGCUGCUCUGCAGGGUAAGUGAGAGAGAGAGAGAGAGAAAGAGAGGCCUCACGGAUGGAGCCAGUUAGCAGGCCGCCAGGACUGCUGGCUGACAGAGGGACUUCUUGAGCUCAACUCAGUCAGUGUGGGGGCAUCAAAGCCCGGGGAACAUGGGCUGACAGGCCGGCCUGUUGGCCUCCAGGAAAAUGCUACCUUUGAAGCAGUGAGGACUGCCGUAGCCCUUGAGUAUGGGGAGGUACAGCGGGGCACUCUGAAUAUGGAAGGUGUGGCCAGGAAGCCUCCAGCAUUGGAUCCCGAGUCCAAGAGCAAUCUGGGCUGCCUGGGGGUCCAGAUAGAGCGUGCCUGUCCCAACGGUGUGCCCGCCUGUUAGACCAGCCAACUUCCACAGUGCUCCCUCUCACAAAUAACUAGUUUUCAGUUGGCCCUGCAGUUCUGGAGGCGAGGGGCUGAAUCCCUGGUCCCAUGGCUGUUUGAGCAGAUUUUCGGCCAGAGAGCCCAACCAGCACAAGUGGGAAGCCCCAUUUUCCCGAGGGACCAGGGAGGCAGUAUCCCAGGCCAGAUGAGAACGGUUUAGGAUACCCUUGGGAACCAGGUGGCCUAUGUCUGUGCCCCAGGUAGAUUUGUUGGAAAGACACGUGGGAGGGCAGAUGCAGCUCAAACAUGGACAGAGCCAGGGCGAGGUCUUCAGGAAACACAGGACACUGGCUGGGAGUCAGCAUCCCAGAUGU
rnacentral:lncRNA from 1 species